GACGAACGCUGGCGGCGCGCUUAACACAUGCAAGUCGAACGGAAAGGCCUGCUUUCCCUUGUGGAUUGCGGGUACUCGAGUGGCGAACGGGUGAGUAACACGUGAGUGAUCUGCCCCCAACUUGGGUAUAAGCCUGGGAAACUGUGUCUAAUUCCCGAUUGGACUGCAGGGUGGUGCCUGUGGUGGAAAACGUUUUUCUUGUGGUUGGGGAUGAGCUCGCGGCCUAUCUGCUUGUUGGUGGGGUAAUUGCCUACCAAGGCGGGGACGGGUAGCCAGGCUGAGAGGGUGGACGGGGCAAUUGGGACUGAGAAACGGCACAGACACCUACGGGAGGCAGGAGAGGGGAAGAAUGAAAAAUGGGCGGAAGCGUGAUGCAGCGAGGCCGAGUGGGGGAUGACGGCAUUCGGGUUGUAAACUCCUUUCGAACGAGAGGAAGCAAACUGGUUGGAAGGGUGGUGACGGUAGUGGUAGAAGAAGCACCGGCUAACUACGUG
rnacentral:rRNA from 1 species